UUGAGUUUGAUCCUGGCUCAGAUUGAACGCUGGCGGCAUGCCUUACACAUGCAAGUCGAACGGCAGCACGGGGGCAACCCUGGUGGCGAGUGGCGAACGGGUGAGUAAUGCAUCGGAACGUGCCCAGUAGUGGGGGAUAGCCCGGCGAAAGCCGGAUUAAUACCGCAUACGUACUGAGGUAGAAAGCGGGGGACCGAAAGGCCUCGCGCUAUUGGAGCGGCCGAUGUCGGAUUAGCUUGUUGGUGGGGUAAUGGCCUACCAAGGCGACGAUCCGUAACUGGUCUGAGAGGACGACCAGUCACACUGGGACUGAGACACGGCCCAGACUCCUACGGGAGGCAGCAGUGGGGAAUUUUGGACAAUGGGCGCAAGCCUGAUCCAGCAAUGCCGCGUGUGUGAAGAAGGCCUUCGGGUUGUAAAGCACUUUUGUCCGGAAAGAAAUCCGUCUGGCUAAUACCCGGACGGGAUGACGGUACCGGAAGAAUAAGCACCGGCUAACUACGUGCCAGCAGCCGCGGUAAUACGUAGGGUGCGAGCGUUAAUCGGAAUUACUGGGCGUAAAGCGUGCGCAGGCGGCUUUGUAAGACAGAUGUGAAAUCCCCGGGCUCAACCUGGGAACUGCAUUUGUGACUGCAAGGCUAGAGUGCGUCAGAGGGAGGUGGAAUUCCGCGUGUAGCAGUGAAAUGCGUAGAAAUGCGGAGGAACACCGAUGGCGAAGGCAGCCUCCUGGGAUGACACUGACGCUCAUGC
rnacentral:rRNA from 1 species